rnacentral:tRNA from 1 species
GCCAGUGUCCCAUAGUGGUUUGAGUGUUGGACUCCAGCUCUGGAGACCAGGGUUCAAUUCCUGGCUCAGCCA